UUAUAUCAUGCAGCCAGGAAACAAAUAGA
rnacentral:piRNA from 1 species